UUCCAAAGUGUUGAGUUCAGUUCAGGGCAGCUUCCCUGUUCUGUUAAUUAAGCUUUGGGACAUUGAAACAUGGACUAGGGUUGGUGAUUGGACAAAAGCAUUACUCUUUAUUCAUUGACCUCCCAGCCUACAAAA